rnacentral:misc_RNA from 1 species
AGCAUGAAUUUUAUGUACCAAUGCAAUGUAAUGUUCAUGAACAAAAUGACUCUGAUGUUCAUGUACCAGAUGAGUACGAAUUAUAUGUACCAAUGCAAUGUAAUGUUCAUGUACCAACUAAAUCAUCAUUACAUAUGAUACAUGCGUCAACUCAGACUGUAGACCAUAAUGAUUCAUUCGAACUAAAUAAAAAAAAAUUGAAUGUAAACACCGGUAAUUUUAAUUUUUUAAUGAUCAUAUACUUUGAUGUGUCACAUUAUCAUGUAUUAUGAGAUUGCCAAAAAUGUAAACAAAAAUACCAUGUGACCAUAGAACUGUUGUAGUAAAAGCGCCACCAUCGCCAAAAAAAGGUACUGACUUGCUCCAUUCCGUGAGCUUCACCAACAGCCUAUGCUUUAACAUAGGAGAUUACCCUCCUUAUACACCUCCAUGGCUUUAACAUAGGAGAUUACCCUCCUUAUACACCUCCAUGGAGUUUAUACACCUCCAUGGCUCUAGCAUAUGUCAGGCAAUAACAUGGAGGUGUAUAUGUUAAACUCCAUGGGCAAUAAAUAUACAACAGAAGUACUUCAACCCAACUUUAUGCCCGGCGUCAUAGAACCAUCGCCAUGACAACCAGCUGUAUAACACAUAUGUUUUUCAAAUAUGUCGGCGUUUGCAGCUUUAUCUGUUCCUGUUACAUAUAAAUUUAAAAUAAAAUCAUUAUCAAUUGGCAGUCUUGUGGUGUUUAUUUUUGGAUUAACAGUUAUCCUGUUACCACUCAUAAUUUCAAAUCAGGCUGGAGGUUUAUGGAUAAAAAAUCGAAUGUAUAUCGAAAUACCUAGGGUAUCAUUUACACAUAAAUAUUUACUCCUCGUCGAGAAGGACUUUCAUAAAUCACCGUUGGUGUGUUCUUCGUUUACUACUUAUCAAAAGAAUCGUAUCGAUGAUGAGUGUUUAUUAUUUAAGAUACAAGAAAUAGAUUACAACAAAGAUCAGCAAAUAGAUCUACUGAAAUUUGAGGCCCAAUUUUACAGUAAUGAAGUCUUACGAUCCGUUACAUUGUCGAUGUAUUUUCAAUUCGAUUUUAUGGAAGUCUCUGUAUCGAAUAUUGAAGCUUCAGCGAUCUUUGAUGUUGAUCUACCAACUAACGUACAAAAAGUUCACAUGAUUGGCCAUUUAAAACUCAAUUCUGAAGGUCCAAUUCAUCAAAAAACUUCUGUUAAAGUGUUGAACAAUGAAAAUCUAGAAUUGGGUCACUCUUUGGACGAGGUAUUACCACAUAAUUCUAAAAAAGUUUUUCCGGCUCAAUUUACCAACACGAAUUAUACUUUUCAAAUUGGUCAUUCGAGUGAUGAACCCAUCGUUAUAUCAGGUGAAAUUUUUCACACUGAACAAAGCUUGAACUAUCAACCUCAGAUCUGGGAGGAGUUAAAAGGAGCCUGGAUUCAAUAUUUUUCUAUACUUGCGAUAUUUGUGUAUAUCGUCAAACAUAUACUUGAGUUUUUAUUUAGAAAAAGUUACCUGAAAGGCUAUAUCGUUACAUCUUGGCAUGAAACAUGAAGAUAUACAAAGAAACUCUUAUUUCAAAAAAACAGUUCAAUACGUGGUCCGAUGAAAUAGUUGUUCUUUUCCCUGGCACAUCAAAGACAGCAUUAUAUACUCCAUAUCGCUCUCAUAAAGUACAAGAAUUAAUGUCAGAUGGACAAAUAGUUAGACGAGUACACAAAAUAAAAGCUAUUGGGUCUUUCGUUAAUCAUCUCUUAUAUACUCAAGGACAAUUAGAAGGAAAGCAUUUAACAACUGAUCCUUGGCGGCAAAUCGAAGCUCCUGUUGUGAGAGACGCUAAUGAAGAAGAACAAACAGCUGUAGACUGGUUGUCUAAUCAUAUAGAUCCAGAUGAUCAAGUGAAAAUAAAGUGGGAUCUUUUGGCAUUAGACAACAAAAAUUAAAAAGUGGCAAUUAUCAAUUGCACUAGUAUUACACAGAUUUUCCUUGCUUGAAAGUAGCAAUUGGUGCGGAAUUACUGUCACCAGAUUUUAACAAAAUUUAUCCUGAUGCUGCUGAUAAAUUAUUUGAUAGAUGGGAAAUCGUACGUCUUGUUUUAAUAAAUUAUUUAAAUAGUUGUAAAGAUAUUACUCAAGCUGACAACGGUCUGAUACGCGCAUUGCCUACACUACUUCAGCACAAUCAGGACGCUGUAAUUUUUUACUUACUACCAUAUAUCGUUCAAGCACCAUCAUUGAGACUUAAAAAAGUUGAUGUGUAUAUCAUAUUCAGUUCAGAGGGACUUGGUUAUUGUAAAAAGGAAAAAUGCAGUUAAACCCAGAGUUGACAGUCGACAUUUUUGUUGUUGAUAUGUCAUAUAUAUACCCAUUUUAACAAUGGAUCGUCCUGAAUCUGAGUUUAGAAACAUUUUGAUGUUGCAAAUCCUGAAUGCAAAUACACGAAAAAACUAUGUUUCAAAUGCUGGUAGAAUGAUGAAGCAUCUUGCUCAAAAAUGUCAAAAUUGUGAUGAUGAAAUUAAAAAAAAAUUUAUGGAAAUGAUUGUGCCAAAUAAUAAACCUGACGUCACACCUCAUCUGAGCAAGUUAUAGCACUAAUUACAAAACAACUCAAAACAAAGGCUCAAUUGACAAGUUUAUUGAUACAAAAUGUCUAAAGAAAAUCAUGAUAAAUUGACUGCUUCUUUUGCAAAUAUUCAUACAAAAAAAAGAAAAUCAUUAUUAAAUGAUCGUACUCAAAAACUUGUUAGUAUCAAACACAAUUUACGACUUGUUGAACCUGGGGUGCUAUUCUCGGUCCCGUAUUGCGGGAGUUAUUGCGGGUCUCGCAAUAACGAUUCGCCGGCAAGAAAUAUUAGUCGCUAUAGAAAAACAUGAAGGCGCUUGCUGUUGCUUUCAUGUAAAUUUUACUUUAUUUUUGCAUUUGCAUACGACUAUGGCAGCUUUACAUGAAAGCAACAACAAGCGCUUUCAUAUUUUUCUAUUGCGACAAACAUUUCUUGUCGGCGAAUCGUUAUUGCGGGACUCGCAAUAACUCCCGCAAUACGGGACCAAGAAUAGCACUCCUGCUCGAUUAACUGUAUCACCAGUAGAAAAAAAUCAUUAGCAACAAAAAAUGAUACGAGUUUUGAAGAAUUUGUUGGAGAAAUAUCUGACUGGGAAGAUGAAGGUUGGGACGAUUGUUCUCUUUAUGAUGAUGAAAGUGGAAACAAAAUUUAAUUGUUGACCAAAAAAAUUAUAUAGUUUUUCAAAGUGAAGAGCUUAAAUUAUCAUUAUUAUUCUUAAAAAAGGGUUACAAGUUUUAACUUUUAAAGUUCAAAGUACACCAAAAAUUGAUCAUAUAAAAUUUAAAAACAUAUCUAGUUUUUAGUUGGAUUUGUCAUUUUUUUUUUCUUUGAGAAAAUUGCUUUUUUUUUUGUUUUUUGUUUUUCAUUUCUACUUUGAUCUUUAUAUUUCUUUAUAAGGACAAAUUGCAAGUGCAAAAUAUUGACAAACUAAUGUCAAAAUAAAAAUGAACAGCUUUAUUAGUUCAUGAUAUAAAAAAAUACAAAAAACGUUAAAAUAUGGUAUAUUUCAAAAUUUCUAUUAUUCCAAGUGAAAAUAUUAUUAGUCGUAAUUUUUCUUCCAUUCAUUGUUACUAAUAAAUGUAGUAUGGAAUCUACAGGUCUUGUUGAUAUUAUUAUUUCCAAUCAUUAUUAUUUUUAAUAUUUAUUUUUAUUUUCAAUAUGUAUUAUUAAAUUUUUUUUUUUCAACUCGAGUUUUAUAUGGGUUACUCAAAUAUUAUUUUUUUUUUGUUUAUAACAAUUUAUUUAUUUAUAUUAAUUUUAUUGUUUAUAUUAUUAAUAAUUAAUUAUAUUAAACAUUGAAAUAAGUCUCUGAUUUUGGACCUAUCAUAAAGCUUAAAAUUUUGCGCAUUCGCGUCGAUGCCCCACCCCCGUUUUAAACUGAUAUCUAACCGUUAAUAACAGUUAUUAACCGUCAAAAAAAUAAAUAACCGGCUAAUUAACAGCUCUACAUUACAAUCAUCAAAUGAAAAUUCAAUUUAGCGGGUAAAGAAAAAACGCUACAGAUAGCGUAGAAAUAAACCGAUUUAUCAUCUAAAUACAAUAUGGCGGGCGAUACCUAUACUUACUAGACUCAGUCUAGGGUCCCUUGUGGAAAAUAAGCCCACAUAAAAAUACACGUAGUGCUAUACCUCUGUCGAUAUUGAAAAUAUCAUUGUCAUAAAAUCCGCAUUUUCCCCUCCUUUCACUCAAACUCAAAAAGCGGUCUCUGCACAUGAGAAAAAUCUUCAGCUAGGGAAAAAAAUAAGCCCACAUAAAAAUACACGUAGUGCUAUCCCCCUGGUCUUUAGAUAGAGUGAAACCGACAGAAAAAAGUACGUUCAAAAAAUCACUCGGAAGCCCGGAAGUGCAAGAUUGUGAUCAUAGAAAAUUUUUGAUAUUUUGUUGUGGUAGACAUGAUUUUUUUUCAUGAAUUUUUAUAAGCACUUAUCAAUAAAAUAUUAUUGUUUAAUUAUUGAUAAUAAUUAUAAAAAUACUUUUUGCAACUGUAAUAGGUAACAAAAACAAAUGGCAUAUGCAAUAUGACUGUUUUUAAUGUUCACAAUAUUUACCGUAACCUCUAGUAACUUUUCAGUUUAUUUUAUCCCUAUAUUUUUUCGUCUACUGCGCCGCUUCCGGGCCUCCGAGUGAUUUUUGGAACGUACCCAAGAUCAUGAGAAACCUUAUGUACAUGCGCGAAUAUUGAAGCACACAAAGGCAAAUUAUAUAUCUGUGAACAGCUUCAUUCCCCCACUCACAAUUCUUGUACCAUAUAUGUAAUACUACAUAUAUGUCUUGUAGACACUGAUAUACAAUUUGCCUUUGAAUGUUUCAAUAUUCGCGCAUGUGCAUUAGAUUUCUCAUGAUCUUAUUCUGCCGGUUUCAUUCUAGUUGCAUAAAGGCAUGUGGCCACUAGCAUAGUUUUUCGAACAAGUUCUAUGCCAUAGUCCAUUUAUUACCAGAAACAACUGACUUUUUCAGUGAUAACUGGGAAUAAUCUAGAUGUUUCUGGUAAUAAAUGGACUAUGGCAUAGAACUUGUUCGAAAAACUAUGCUAGUGGCCACACGCCUUAACACUUGAAUAAAAAGUCAAAAAUUCUAUCUUAAGUUUUAUUAUAAUUAUUACAUAAAAAAAAGAGCGACAAAAUAACACUCAAUUUUUGUCUUAUCACUUCAUCAUAAAGUAGUUUUGCACAAUAUUCUCUGUACUUCUUCGACAACUGUCUAACUAGGUUAGAGUGGGUAUGAUCAUACAGUUGACCUUGCCAAUGUUAAUUUCGGGGAUAAGCUAACACAUAUGAACAUUAAGCGUCCGUGAAGCGGUGUCUCCACGCUAUAGAAAUGCUUGCAAGAUCUAUCAUCACUAGAUAAUUACUAGAAUUUUGGUGGAAAUCAGCUUUGCAAGACUAUCACAGCCAAUAGGGGCAAGUUUUGUAGUCCAUAGUUAAGUCAACCUGGUAUAGUAUAGUAUAGGGAAGCAAAACGUUAGACUAUACCAAAAAAUUGUAACUGUGGAUUACAAAACCGGCCCUAGAACAUGUUUCAUUUUUUCGUGCAAGAACUUGCAUGAGAUUUCUAUAUCGUGGAGACACCGCUUAUCACAGCCAAUGGAACAUGUUCCAUUUUUUCGUGCAAGAACUUGCAUAAAGCGGUGUCUCCACGCUAUAGAAAUCUCAUGAAAGCUCUUGCAGCAAGAUCAAGCAAGAUCUUGCACGAAAAAAAUGGAACAUGUCCCAUUGGCUGCGAUAGUCUUGCAAGGCUUUUAAAGGCUGAUUUCCACCAAAAUUCUAGUAAUUAUCUAGUGAUGAAAGAUCUUGCAAGCAUUUCUAUAGCGUGGAGACACCGCUUAAGUAAGCUCAACUGUACCAAAUUACCCACUCUAACCUAGGUUUGUGGAAAGCGAACUCUAGUGGCCAUAAGAGCCAAUAUACCCCAAAAGCCAAAAGACGUUGACUUUAAAAAUUAAUCCAAGACAUUAUUCUUACGUAGAAUAUUUUCUGACGGUCUUCUUGAUAUUUUUUACUAUUGAAACUUGAAAUAAUUGCGCAUCGAUUUAUAUAAUUUAGAAAAGUCCUAUCUAGUAUUUUGGACAAUUAACCCUUAACGUUAAAACUUUUUACCUAUCAUAAACGGAGAAUCAUUAUUUUUUUUUUACUAAAUUCGGAAUAAAAAAAAAAACUGCUCUUACCAAUUUAUUGAAAUUAGGGUUACCAUAUCU